GAAAGUAAAUAAGGGCGCAUGGCGGAUGCCUUGGCUCUCGGAGGCGAUGAAGGACGUGAUAAGCUGCGAUAAGCUUCGGGUAGGUGCAAAUGACCUUUGAUCCGAAGAUUUCCGAAUGGGACAACCCGGCAUUCUGAAGGAAUGUCAUCCAACUUGGUUGGAGGCUAACGCAGGGAACUGAAACAUCUUAGUACCUGCAGGAAAAGAAAAUAAAUAAUGAUUCCCCUAGUAGUGGCGAGCGAACGGGGAUUAGCCCAAACCACCCAUGUUACGGCAUGUGUGGGGUUGUAGGACCACGCUCUCGCAAGACAGUUAUUGAGAAGAAACGACUGGAAAGUCGUGCCAUAGACGGUGAUAGCCCGGUAUUCUAAGGUAACCGAAGCGUAGUGGUAUCCUGAGUAGCGCGGAGCACGAGGAAUUCUGCGUGAAUCAGCCGGGACCAUCCGGUAAGGCUAAAUACUCCCGAGAGACCGAUAGCGAACCAGUACUGUGAAGGAAAGGUGAAAAGCACUUCGAAUAGAAGAGUGAAAUAGUCCCUGAAACCAUGCGCCUACAAGCGGUCGGAGCAGCUUAAGUUGUGACGGCGUGCCUUUUGCAUAAUGAACCUACGAGUUACUUUUUCCGGCAAGGUUAAGCAUCUUGAGAUGUGGAUCCGAAGCGAAAGCGAGUCUGAACAGGGCGGAUAGUCGGAAGGAGUAGACGCGAAACCAAGUGAUCUACCCUUGGGCAGGUUGAAGGUUAGGUAACACUAACUGGAGGACCGAACCGAUAAGCGUUGAAAAGCUUCCGGAUGACCUGAGGGUGGGGGUGAAAGGCUAAUCAAACUUGGAGAUAGCUCGUACUCCCCGAAAUGCAUUUAGGUGCAGCCUUGAGAGUUACUAAUGUGAGGUAGAGCGACUGAUAAGAUGCGAGGGCUUCACCGCCUAUCAAGUCUUGAUAAACUCCGAAUGCGCAUUAGUUCUAUCUCAGGAGUGAGGGCAUGGGUGCUAAGGUCCAUGUCCUAAAGGAGAAGAAUCCAGACCAUCAGCUAAGGUCCCCAAAUAAACACUAAGUUGAACUAACGAAGUCAGAUUGCUAAGACAGCUAGGAUGUUGGCUUGGAAGCAGCCAUUCAUUUAAAGAGUGCGUAACAGCUCACUAGUCGAGGAGUUUGGCGUGGAUAAUAAUCGGGCAUAAGUGUUUUACCGAAGCUAUGGGAUACGUAAGUAUCGGUAGGGGAGCAUUCCACUCAGCGUUGAAGGCGAAGCGUGAGCUUUACUGGAGCGUGUGGAAAAGCAAAUGUAGGUAUAAGUAACGAUAAAGGGGGUGAGAAACCCCCUCGCCGCAAGACUAAGGUUUCCUGAUCAACGCUAAUCGGAUCAGGGUUAGUCGGGUCCUAAGGCUCAGCCGAACGGUGAGGCCGAUGGCAGAACAGGUUAAUAUUCCUGUACUACCUAUAGGAGUGAUGUGGAGACGGAGGAGUGACAACGCCGCGGACUGACGGAAUAGUCCGUUAAAGGGUGUAGAUGUUGAUUAUCCCAGGCAAAUCCGGGAUAAGAGUCGAACCUGACAGUAUACCAAUUUCCUCGGAAAACGGUAAUAGUGCGUGUAAACAUACUCCCAAGAAAAUCCGCUAAACUUAAUCUUAUAGGUACCCGUACCGUAAACGGACACACGUAGUCGGGUUGAAUAUACUCAGGCGCUUGAGUGAAUCACGGUUAAGGAACUAGGCAAAUUGACCCUGUAACUUCGGGAUAAAGGGUCCCUACCCGGUGACGGGAGGGCGCAGAGAAUAGGUCCAGGCAACUGUUUAACAAAAACACAGGGCUGUGCAAAAUUGAAAGAUCACGUAUACAGCCUGACACCUGCCCGGUGCUGGAAGGUUAAGAGGAGAUGUCAUCGCAAGAGAAGCAUUGAAUUGAAGCCCCAGUAAACGGCGGCCGUAACUAUAACGGUCCUAAGGUAGCGAAAUUCCUUGUCGGGUAAGUUCCGACCUGCACGAAUGG
rnacentral:rRNA from 1 species